rnacentral:rRNA from 1 species
AAAACCAAUGCCCUUCGGGGCUCCUUGGUGAUUCAUAAUAACUUAACGAAUCGCAUGGCCUUGUGCCGGCGAUGGUUCAUUCAAAUUUCUGCCCUAUCAACUUUCGAUGGUAGAGUAGUGGUCUACCAUGGUUUCAACGGGUAACGGGGAAUUAGGGUUCUAUUCCGGAGAGGGAGCCUGAGAAACGGCUACCACAUCCAAGGAAGGCAGCAGGCGCGCAAAUUACCCAAUCCCGACACGGGGAGGUAGUGACAAUAAAUACUGAUACAGGGCUCUUUUGGGUCUUGUAAUUGGAAUGAGUACAAUUUAAAUCCCUUAACGAGGAACAAUUGGAGGGCAAGUCUGGUGCCAGCAGCCGCGGUAAUUCCAGCUCCAAUAGCGUAUAUUAAGUUGUUGCAGUUAAAAAGCUCGUAGUUGAACCUUGGGCCUGGCUGGCCGGUCCGCCUCACCGCGUGCACUGGUCCGGCCGGGCCUUUCCUUCUGGAGAACCUCAUGCCCUUUACUGGGUGUGUUGGGGAACCAGGACUUUUAC